rnacentral:rRNA from 1 species
UACGUAGGGGGGCGAGCGUUGUCCGGAAUCACUGGGCGUAAAGCGCGCGUAGGCGGCGCGGUACAUCCCUCGUGAAAGCGCCCGGCUCAACCGGGCGAGGCCGGGGGCGAUGGCCGCGCUGGAGGGCGGUAGAGGCAGGCGGAAGGCCCGAAGUAGUGGUGAAAUGCGUAGAGAUCGGGCGGAACACCAGUGGCGAAGGCGGCCUGCUGGGGCCGGCCCUGACGCUGAGGCGCGAAAGCCAGGGGAGCCGGAACGGA